AUUGAGCAACACGUUCAGGAAAGACAGAGCAUGGCUGCUGGGCAGCCAGGUCAACCGGACGGCAAGGCAGGGGUUGGCCGGGGAAGCACUGCGCCGCCCCUGCAUGCCCUGCAUCCUCGGGUCCUGGGAGGGCUGCUCAGUAACUGGAAGGAAAAUGAAACUGAAAAAGAGCAAGGGUCCCGUAGGAUUGAACACAGUUGGUGAACCUUGGGCCGUCUGCCUCAAGUCCCCGCUUGGCAAAACCACUCCCUCCUGGUGGACGCCCUCACCAUCAAGAACAUCCCCCACUUCCCCGACCAGAUACGUCCAGAGGGGAGGCAAGUGGAGACUGGCUGUCUGUAGGGAGUGGAGAAAUGGCAGGUCCAGCUUGGACUGGUGUCCUCUUCCUCGGAAAGUGCUGUGGGUGAACCCAGAGUCUCAGGGAGCAGAAGCCCCCCUCGCUGGCUUUCUUCACGCGGGGUCCUCGGCAAGCUGUUCUGCACUGCGAAGAACGUGCGCCUUGUCCUCAGAAGACGAGGAAGAGCAGGGCCUCAUGCCGGGGCAGUACGAUGUUCUCCACAGUGCGCUCCAUGGCGCGCACCUGUUCCGGGGACGCUGUCAGGAAUGCCAGGGGCCCGAUGCGCUGCUCCGCGCAGGAGUGGCAGAGGUAGCCCCCCUUGUUUUCCUUCCUGUUGCUCUGUGGUGAUGGACAAGAGAGAGAGCUAAGGGGAACAACCAAAGAACAUGGAUUUUCCAGCAAAAAGCAUGGAGUUAUCAUCACAGCUGCCCAGGGACAAUGCAUUUGGAUUCUGAUGUUUUCAGAGGGGUGCACAUCCUCAGAGUAACACCUCCCACAGCACCACCAACUAGGUGGCCUCAACACCCCCAAAUUCCCUGAGCUCAGAAACAGCCAUUUAUCCAGUCAAGAUAAAGAACCAAGAAAAGCUGCGCUGGGACCCCAGGGAACAGCUCUCCCUCUAAGAGUGUAUCACAACCCAGCCUCCCAGACCUGCGGCUUCAGCACAGCCAGGCAGCAUCACGUGCCCUGACCUCUGACCCUGGGACAGACCACACACCUCUUGUGCCUCUCACAUGAAAAGCCCUUAAUAAAGGAUCACACAGCUCUCUCUUAUCUCCUCACCUACAACCCAGAUAAGCACAGAGCUCACAAGCAAAAAAUGCAAAUGGCUGAAUUAAGUUCCACAGACAGCAGACGUACAUAGGUGAUGGGCAGCUUCUUCAUGGUGAGGACGGUGUCAACAGGGAUGGCAUUGUUGCACUGUCCCACGCAGCAGCGCACCACGCCUGUUUUUAAGACAUUGCUUGUCAGCUCUGCUUGCAAGAAGUACUCCUGAGAAGGAAAGAGUGAGAAAGAGAGUCAUGGCGACACCUCCGUUAGGGUCUACUGGAAACACUGACAGCUGCAGCCCUGUGAGAACCCUUUAGAUGUACUAUGGCACGGUGCCUGCUUCAGGUGGCUGCUGAGAAGAAGAAACCCUUCAAUGCAUGGAAAGCACUCACGCCUGGCACGCAGGGAGCACCCAGAGGAAGCAGUAGUGACCUCCCAGGCUGGAAACACCACAAGGACAGGGCACUGUCAGCUUCGCUGCUGCCCUGUGGGGCUCCACAUCACAGACUGAUAUGCUAGCAGGACCACACACAUCUGCUACCCAGGAAAGGACGGUUUCGUAUUUUCUGGAUUAUGACCAGCUAUUGAUCUAAUUAUUCUACAAUCUGUAUCCUACAUUUUGAUUUAUUUGGUCUUUUCUCUUAGACGGCCUGCCUACCAGCUAUGAAAAAGAACAGAAAACCACCAGGCAAACACUCCAGUUAUGGCCAACAAGUACUAACAGCUGACGAGGUGAAAUCCUGUCUGAAGUCACAGAUUUUGCUGAAGUCCCUUGGACUGUCAUCUCAAUUUCCUUCCCCAGAGACAGCCAAGACCAUGAACCUGGCGAGGUCCCUCCAACCCAAGGUGAAAUAGCUUCUCGUUUACACGUGUCCAAGGACACAGGUCUCCUUUUAUAGAUGUCUAAUUUACACGAAUGUUACACUUCUGGCUUCCUCCUCACCUAGUUUUUCUAAAAUGCUGUAGAGGACUCAGUCACA